UACGUAGGGUGCAAGCGUUGUCCGGAAUUAUUGGGCGUAAAGAGCUCGUAGGCGGUCUGUCGCGUCUGCUGUGAAAACUCAGGGCUUAACCCUGAGCUUGCAGUGGGGUACGGGCAGACUAGAGUGCGGUAGGGGAGACUGGAAUUCCUGGUGUAGCGGUGAAAUGCGCAGAUAUCAGGAGGAACACCGGUGGCGAAGGCGGGUCUCUGGGCCGAUACUGACGCUGAGGAGCGAAAGCCGUGGGGAGCGAACAGG
rnacentral:rRNA from 1 species